CAGUCGCCGCGGGAAUACGAAGGGGGCUAGCGUUGUUCGGAUUUACUGGGCGUAAAGCGCACGUAGGCGGAUCGAUCAGUCAGGGGUGAAAUCCCAGAGCUCAACUCUGGAACUGCCUUUGAUACUGUCGAUCUGGAGUAUGGAAGAGGUGAGUGGAAUUCCGAGUGUAGAGGUGAAGUUCGUAGAUAUUCGGAGGAACACCAGUGGCGAAGGCGGCUCACUGGUCCAUUACUGACGCUGGGGUGCGAAAGCGUGGGAGCAAACAGGAUUAGAUACCCCAGUAGUCCCUGUCUCUUAUACA
rnacentral:rRNA from 1 species